rnacentral:rRNA from 1 species
GAACGCUGGCGGCAUGCCUUACACAUGCAAGUCGAACGGCAGCGCGGACUUCGGUCUGGCGGCGAGUGGCUGAACGGGUGAGUAAUACAUCGGAACGUACCCUGUUGUGGGGGAUAACUAGUCGAAAGAUUAGCUAAUACCGCAUACGACCUGAGGGUGAAAGUGGGGGACCGCAAGGCCUCACGCAGCAGGAGCGGCCGAUGUCUGAUUAGCUAGUUGGUGGGGUAAAGGCCCACCAAGGCGACGAUCAGUAGCUGGUCUGAGAGGACGAUCAGCCACACUGGGACUGAGACACGGCCCAGACUCCUACGGGAGGCAGCAGUGGGGAAUUUUGGACAAUGGGGGCAACCCUGAUCCAGCAAUGCCGCGUGUGUGAAGAAGGCCUUCGGGUUGUAAAGCACUUUUGUCCGGAAAGAAAUCGCGCUGGUUAAUACCUGGCGUGGAUGACGGUACCGGAAGAAUAAGCACCGGCUAACUACGUGCCAGCAGCCGCGGUAAUACGUAGGGUGCGAGCGUUAAUCGGAAUUACUGGGCGUAAAGCGUGCGCAGGCGGUUUUGUAAGACAGGCGUGAAAUCCCCGGGCUUAACCUGGGAAUUGCGCUUGUGACUGCAAGGCUAGAGUGCGUCAGAGGGGGGUAGAAUUCCACGUGUAGCAGUGAAAUGCGUAGAGAUGUGGAGGAAUACCGAUGGC